GUGAUUUCGAUGUUUUCGAAACACGACCUCAAC
rnacentral:rRNA from 1 species